AGACAAAAUCACUUCAGAAUUUUCAUCAGUGAGAAUGAGCAUCAUCAGUGUGGAUAAUUUACUGCUCUUGGCUCUGUGACACGAGCACAGUCCCCUGUGUCACAGAGAGCCCUGAUCACAGAAGGGUGGGCUCCCUGUCAGAGAUGACUUCAUCAGGGAUUAAGCCGCUAUGAAAGAUGUUUUCAAAGGUGAUUCUAUAAUCCCCCACUUCCUUCAUACUCUUUUGCAAUGUGAUCUAGACUCUCCCUCCAUCCAGAGAUGAAUUCUUCCCCUCCCCUGGAAUCUGAUUUGACCUUGUGACUUCCUUUGUCCAGGAGAGUGCAGCAGAGGGAUGUUCUGUGGCUUCAGGGCCAAGCCUUAAGAGGCCUUGAAGCUUCCAUUUUCACCCAUUUGGAGCCCUGUGCCAUCAUGCAUAGAUGUCCCACUAUCUCACUGGAAAGACCAUGUGGACAGAGAGGUGCCUGGGUAUUUUAGCCAUCUCAGCUGGUGUGCCAUGUGAUGAAGGCCAUCUUGGAUCACCACUCCAGCUGAUCUGCAGAUGAUUACAACAAGAGUGAGCUCGGGUGAAACCAGAAGAACAGCCCAGCUGAGCCCAUUUCACACUGCAGAAUCAUGAGAAAACAAAGUUGUUAUGCGGCAGACAUAAUGGAUGUGGUUAAUUCUCUGUGACUGGUCUGCCUGUGCAUCAAUAAAAGCAUAUUUGCAAUUUCAAGGCACUAAGAAGAUGAUGAGUUGAGCCUCUGCUCAGCAUCUUAUUGAGCCGAUGGUAUUAUGUUGUAUCUAUUCCCUGAGUGGACCUGGUCUAAUACAAAGCUGAUAUAGGAGAAGAGGCUGGAAAUGCAUCCAUUCACUACUCCUAUUUACCUGUGGGAAGACUAUGAAGGAUUAGCAGAGAAUACAUUUUGAAAACCACUGGACUGAAUAGUUUUUCAAUCCUCCUACCCAGACACGGUCAGGUCCAUAAUGAUGACCUAGGUUUUCAAAUGAAGAUCCUCCCUUUGGCACAAUCUUUCUACAAAUAUUUAAGAAGCUGCCAACUGCAUGCCAGUAUAACCGCUGAGUAUCCCCCAGGGUGGAGCUCACUGCUGAGGCUCUCCACCGGCCAUUAUUAUUCUGGAAAACCUUCUAAGGCUCUGGAUCCAGCCUUCAUGCCUGUGGGCUCAGAGGAUCAUACGGGUCAGUAUGCCCAGCUCAGAUUCUAUCUCUAUGACAGCUUUACAUGGAC
rnacentral:lncRNA from 12 species